rnacentral:rRNA from 1 species
ACCUACGGGGGGCAGCAGUAGGGAAUCUUCGGCAAUGGGCGAAAGCCUGACUGAGCAACGCCGCGUGAAUGAAGAAGGCCUUCGGGUUGUAAAAUUCUGUUAUAAGGGAAGAAAGGUGAUAGGAGGAAAUGACUAUCAAUUGACGGUACCUUAUGAGAAAGCCACGGCUAACUACGUGCCAGCAGCCGCGGUAAUACGUAGGUGGCAAGCGUUAUCCGGAAUUAUUGGGCGUAAAGAGCGCGCAGGUGGUUAAUUAUGUCUGAUGUGAAAGCCCACGGCUUAGCCGUGGAGGGUCAUUGGAAACU